rnacentral:misc_RNA from 1 species
UUUUUAAUAUGCUGGUGUAGGUAACUGACAUUUAACUAAAUUUGCAUGUUGAAUUGCAUUCAUUUGUUCUCAAUUUAAUAAGCCACACAGCUGCUUGGACCUGGAAGUAACACAAGUAUUAAUUGAUAUGGCCGACAGUUUAAUAGAACCAGGCCUGCUGUUUGCAAUGUCUGAUUGUGUAAAGAGAAUUGUUAUGGCGUAAUAUUUUAAAGUGCUACGCGUCUUUACUUUAUCACCGGACAUUGUUUUUAUUGAUUUUGAUUUACAAUCAUGGGAUCACGAGAAUCAAGUAUGGACACCAAUGAAGACCAGGAUGAUCCUAGUCUACUUGACUCAUUUUUAGAUUUCAUCUUGCCAUCGUUUAUUCGAAAGAAAGUAAAAGAUUCGGACAACGAAAGCAUAAAGGAAGAAGAACAACCACAAAGUCAACUGUCAGAACCACCAGAAAAUGGGGCAAAGGGUGAUGAACAAAUAACAGAGGGGAAACAAGAAAUAACAGAUCAGUCCCCUUCAAUAGAGAUCUCCCCUUCAGUGAAUCAAGAAGUAGAUCAAGCUUUAGUGGAAGCCAUGGAGCCAGUCAGUCAAUUUAUUGCAAUUCCCCCCUCUGAUUUAUUUUACGAAUUAGAAAUUUUGCUUAAAGAAGGAAGAAACCUUGCAAUUCGAGAUAAAAGCGGUUCAAGUGAUCCGUAUGUGAAGUUUAUUAUGAAUGGCAAACAGCAAUAUAAAAGCAAGACCAUCAACAAGAAUUUAAACCCUGUCUGGGAUGAGAGGUGCACACUGACAAUUAAUGAUGUCAACGAUCCAAUCACAAUUCAAGUUUAUGAUUAUGAUAGAGGGCCUGUGUCAGAUGACUUCAUGGGAUCGGCUCAGUUUUACCCAUCAUCACUCCAGCCUUCAGUUACAGCACGUAAAGAAUUUCCUUUGGUCGAUGAAGGGAGCACAGAUGAGCUUGGUUACCUCAUCUUGGAAUGCACUCUCGUUCCAAAGAGCAAAGCUGAAAGAGAACGGUUCUCUCCUAAUGUUGGUCGACAUUCUCUUAAACACCGUAAACGUCAUCAACAUCACCACCAAGAACACUCUGACCCGGAGUUGACCUCCGAAAAACAGGCAAUGGAGUCUGCUGCUAUCGAUGACAGACAUCAUCUUCAACGAGACACUGUGUUUGAAGAUGAUUUUUUACAUCAAUCUACAGAGUCACAAUCUCUUCACUCUUCUGUGGAUGACAAUACUUACCUGCAUCCAUCUCCCGAAAAUCAAUUACUUGCUCUUCUCCAUUCGUCAAAAACACGCAAAAAGACAGCCUCUCCAUUAAGAUUUUUCCGCCAUAAGGCGCAGUCCUGGUCUAAUGAAAUCCAUGCACUAUCCUCACCCCGCACUGUUAAGAAACUGAAAUGGCAGAAAGCAAUAACGAGUAAAAGCAGCCUCAGUGUAAACGAGGAGGAGGAAAAGUAUGACGGCGAUGGUGCUUUAUCCUCGUCUUUGUACACCGCAACACAAAUACAUGCAUCAGACCAGAGAAGGGAUAGUAAGUUCCUAGCAAAGAAAUCGAAACAGGAAAGUCAACGACGAAAGAUGAAAAUGCAAAUAUGGAGCGGAGUUGUUACGAUAACGCUACUUGAGGGACGCAAUCUGAUUCCAAUGGAUGAUAAUGGACUUAGCGAUCCUUACAUCAAAUUCAAGCUGGGUCAUGAGAAGUAUAAGAGUAAGGUUGAGAACAAAACUUUAAACCCUCAUUGGAUGGAACAAUUUGAUCUUCAUCUCUAUGACGACCAGAGUAAUAUCUUAGAACUUUCAGUUUGGGAUAAAGAUGUUGGUGCCAGAGAUGAGAUUAUGGGGAGAUCUACCAUAGACCUGAACGAACUGAAGAAGGAGGUCACACAUAACAUCGAACAGGAGCUUGAAGAUGGCGCUGGUGUCGUUUGUCUUCUACUCACAAUCUCAGGAACAUCUGGAGGGGAAGCUGUCUCUGACCUCUCAAACUACAAAGUUGACCCCAACUUAAGAAGAGAUCUUGUUGAACGAUAUAGUUUACGAGGCUCUUUAAAGGAUAUAAAAGAUGUUGGUUGGUUGCAAGUGAAAGUUAUACGAGCACAAAAUCUGACAUCAGCUGAUAUCGGAGGCAAGAGUGAUCCAUUUUGCGUUCUUGAACUAGUCAAUACCCGUCUCCAAACGCAAACAAUUUAUAAAACACUAAAUCCAGACUGGGGAAAGGUGUUCACUUUCAACGUGAAAGAUAUUCAUUCGGUUCUUGAAAUUACCGUCUACGAUGAAGAUAAACAUGGAAGUCCAGAAUUUUUGGGAAAAGUAGCAGUUCCUUUAUUAAAUAUUAAAAAUGGUGAGAGAAAGUUCUACUCGUUGAAGGACAAGAAGUUAAGGGCAAGGGUCAAAGGGGCUAUUCUAUUGGAAAUGGAAUUUAUUUUCAACACUGUAAAAGCUGCCAUUCGAACUCUGAACCCUCGUGAAGUUAAGUAUAUGGAGCUGGAACAGAAGUUCAAGAUCUCGCUAUUACAACGCAAUGUUAAUCGCACAUCAAAACUCUUAGGCCACAUCCUUGAAACAGGGAAAUUUAUCAACAGUUGUUUCCAAUGGGAAAGUAAACCAAGAAGUAUUACUGCAUUCAUUGCAUACCUCAUAAUUGUAUGGAACUUUGAGCUCUAUAUGUUGCCAACGGCCAUUCUGCUCAUCUUCUUCUGGAAGUAUCUUAUUAACAGUAUAACCGCUCCAUUCAACAAGAAUGUUGAGGAAGAUCACAAAAAGAAAAAUUCUAAGGGGAGAAGGGCACCUUCACCUGAAGUAUCUCUGAGUGAAUAUGGUGAUAGUGAGGAAGAUGAUGACGAUGACGACAAAGAUAAGGUAGUAAUCAUAAUGCAUAUACAGUAUAAUAAGUAGCGUAUGAAUAUGUAAUUAACUUCAUAAAUAUGCAUGAUCUAGAUAACUGCAUGUGUUAACACAAGUUACCAUUCAAAAGACAUGUUCCUUUGUGUGAAUAAUAACGUCAGUGGCUUAGGUAGUCAAUUUUUUAUUUACAUUAUUCGUUGGAAUAUGUUAAUAAUUUGUUUAAUGGAUCGUUUUGCAAAGCCCCACUCUUUGGAUAUUUUUCUUUAGGUCCCACAAAACCACACCCGUAAUGUACAGUAGUAAAUUUGCGUGUUUGCAGGACAUAUGCAUGUAUUCCUUGCCUGGCCUAUUAAAUAACAUGUUGUCAGUAGUUGGUUGUUAAUUGUGGUUCAAUGUGGUCCUUGUUUUUUUGGGUGUUGUGUUAAUUCAUUUUUAAUGGCAAUUGUGAGAUUAACAAUAUCAGUAAUGCUAGCAGUCUGAGAAAAUUAAACACAACUUAUCAAUCAUUUUAAGAAAUAAUUGCAAGUAGAUCAAUUUUAAGGUAACUAGAUUUGAUAAUGUUGUUAUUUAUAAAUGUAAUACAGAAUACAUAAACCUUUAUUUUUAAAAAAGCUCAAUAACAAAUAUAAAAAAUGUAGCACACCUUAAGUUAAAAAACUAAUAUUUACCAGAAAAAAACAUUCAAAUGUUAAUUUAUAGUCAGAUAUUCACAUGCACGAUGUAUAGUGUUUUGGCAUCAUGUGACUUGUGUUUGUUUGUAUUUGUUUAC